rnacentral:rRNA from 1 species
UGACUAAUACUGCAAGUCGAGCGAAUGGAUUGAGAGCUUGCUCUCAAGAAGUUAGCGGCGGACGGGUGAGUAACACGUGGGUAACCUGCCCAUAAGACUGGGAUAACUCCGGGAAACCGGGGCUAAUACCGGAUAACAUUUUGAACCGCAUGGUUCGAAAUUGAAAGGCGGCUUCGGCUGUCACUUAUGGAUGGACCCGCGUCGCAUUAGCUAGUUGGUGAGGUAACGGCUCACCAAGGCAACGAUGCGUAGCCGACCUGAGAGGGUGAUCGGCCACACUGGGACUGAGACACGGCCCAGACUCCUACGGGAGGCAGCAGUAGGGAAUCUUCCGCAAUGGACGAAAGUCUGACGGAGCAACGCCGCGUGAGUGAUGAAGGCUUUCGGGUCGUAAAACUCUGUUGUUAGGGAAGAACAAGUGCUAGUUGAAUAAGCUGGCACCUUGACGGUACCUAACCAGAAAGCCACGGCUAACUACGUGCCAGCAGCCGCGGUAAUACGUAGGUGGCAAGCGUUAUCCGGAAUUAUUGGGCGUAAAGCGCGCGCACGUGGUUUCUUAAGUCUGAUGUGAAAGCCCACGGCUCAACCGUGGAGGGUCAUUGGAAACUGGGAGACUUGACUGCAGAAGAGGAAAGUGGAAUUCCAUGUGUAUCGGUGAAAUGCGUAGAGAUAUGGAGGAUCACUAA